CCGAGGCGACGUCGUAAAAUCAUGAAAACGGAUUUGAAGCACCGUGGCACAUAACCGAAGACUUUUAAUUUUCGGAUCGCAAAUCGGAGAUCGUUUGGGUGAUUGCGCGAGAGUUCGAGCCAAACCGGGUCGCGGGUGUCGCAGGCGGCCGAUUGCAAGUGACUACAAGCAAUCGGAGAGUAAGUUAAGGUGGGUUGUGCUUACCGAAGCGACUAGGUCGCCUUUUAUGUCUAAGAGAAAUGUAAAUUCAUAUUGAUGCAUAUAAUGGGAGAAUGCAUGCAGAGCUUCUAAAUGCUAGGCGGAGAUCAUGUUGAAUUGCCUAUGCUUAGACUACCUAAGAAGCCAUGAUGACAUUUAUAGUAAAGCUAUAUGUAUGCAUGUAAAUACAUGCUAAUUAAUGCAAUUGUGAGCACAUUGUAAAGAUAUGCAUGUGAAUGAAUCAAUUAAAUAAGUGACUAUGUUAAAUACAUGUAUGACGGACAUGAUGAGGAAAAUGCUAGAUACAUGCAUAUUAAAUGUUGUAAGAUCAUUGAGAAAGAUUAUGAUGUGGCAUCAAAUAAGCUGCUAGAUAAAAUGUGUGAUAGUUAAUGGAACUCGACACUGGACAUAUUAGGAUGCUCAAAAGUAGAUCGAGUGGCAUUACCUAGUUAUAAAAACAUAGGUUGCGACAUGAUAUGACAAUGAACCUUAUGUUAUUGACAUCAGUCGAAGUGGCAUGCUAACCUAGGUGUUAAAGAAUAUAGGUUAUGAGAUUGAACUAGAGUUAAGUAAACUAGGUUAUAUGAUCAGAGACGUUGAACUAGAGUCAGUGUGACUAGGGCCAAAGGACGUGGACCUAGACUAAGGGUCAAUGCUAUAGAGUUGUGAAACCAACCUUGAUUAUGAAAUGGAUUCCGGCAAUCCCGUGACAUGGUCCGCACAUGGACAUCGGUUAGAAUAUUUGUGGUUAAAAGAAAUCGCAAAGCGAAUUAGAUGGCAGGUAUGUGUUGGUUCUCAACUCGUGCCUGGCAGUAGAUUGCAACUGGGUAUGUGUGGUUCUUCUCGCUCCGGGAUGCCGAGAAAAGUUGCCUGGAGAUGGUAGGUGUGGUUUCUCUUGCCCAUCUAGUCUUAUCGGAUGAGCCGCUAGGUUGACUUGAACAUAUGUUGGUGUGGAGCGACAUGUGGUUGCUGCAAUGAUUAAGUUAUGACUUUGAACCAUUGUUGGUGAGGUGCGAUGAGUUCGCCGCCAGAUGGCUAAUGUCAAUAACUUGACUUGUUGUUGGGUGAAGCGAGUAUCUCGGCACCCAGAUGCGUUUAAGUCAGAUGCUGGCGGUAGCUGCGGACGGCAGCAGGCUGAGGGCAGCAGUGUGCCGCUGGCACUGAUCCGCGGUGAUUGACUGAGGCCGAGUCGUGUUUAGCUGAUUGCGUUAAUGGGAACCUCUAUAAGUAUGGGAUCGAGGCAAGAAUGAGUAAUAGAGACCUUGAAGCAAGUUGAACUUGAGUUGAGAACAUAAGGUUGAAUGGAAACCUUACAAUUGAAUGAAAUGCACCUAAGUGCCAAAGUAAAUGUAGAAUUAACAUAUCUACUAGUUGUUUAUGCAGUUGCAUAGUUGCAUAAUAUUCAUAUUGCAUUAGCGAGGCAAUGUAUGGUUUUAUUAAUUGCAUAGUCAAAUAUCUAUCUAUCUGUUUAUUAAACUAACCUGCAGUUGCCUCCUUGGACCUAUUGGUCGAACUCCUCCCUUGGGUGGCCGUACCCACUGGGAACCAUGGAGUUGGUUCUCACCCCACGUUGUUUUGGGGUGUUACAGGUUCGCACGUGAGCGGCGCGGCGGCGCGAGGCAAGGGCGUAGCUCCAUAGAUAGCGCCCUACCCCAGAGACCAGAAAUAGCGGUACCCC
rnacentral:lncRNA from 1 species